rnacentral:rRNA from 1 species
AAUAUUGCGCAAUGGAGGUAACUCUGACGCCGCGAGGCCUCGUGAGCUAUUAUGGUCUUCGGAUCGUAACGCUCUGUCCUUGGGGAAGAAGGGAGCCGUAAGCCUUCUUGCCGGUACCCUUGGAGGAAGCCCCGUCUAACUACGCGCCAGCAGCCGCGGUAAUACGUAGGGGGCGAGCGUUGUCAGGAAUUACUGGGCGUAAAGGGUACGUAGGCGGCUAUAUAAGUCAGGUGUGAAAUACCAGUGCUUAACACUGGAAUUGCAUUUGAAACUGGGUAGCUUGAGUGCAGGAGAGGAAAGUGGAAUUCCUAGUGUAGCGGUGAAAUGCGUAGAGAUUAGGAGGAAAACCAGUGGCGAAGGCGACUUUCUGGACUGUAACUGACGCUGAGGUACGAAAGCGUGGGUAGCGAACA